GCGGGUAUCGUAUAAUGGCUAUUACCUCAGCCUCCCAAGCUGAUGAUGCGGGUUCGAUUCCCGCUACCCGCUCCA
rnacentral:tRNA from 1 species